ACUUAAAUAGCUUAUAUAAGAGCUCAAUAUUGAAGAUAUUGCGGAAAUAUUUAUUAUUUUUAAGUA
rnacentral:tRNA from 1 species